rnacentral:rRNA from 1 species
UACGUAGGGGGCAAGCGUUGUCCGGAUUUAUUGGGCGUAAAGAGCGUGUAGGCGGCCAGGUAGGUCCGUUGUGAAAACUCGAGGCUCAACCUCGAGACGCCGAUGGAAACCAUCUGGCUAGAGUCCGGAAGAGGAGAGUGGAAUUCCCGGUGUAGCGGUGAAAUGCGCAGAUAUCAGGAAGAACACCCGUGGCGAAGGCGGCUCUCUGGGACGGUACUGACGCUGAGACGCGAAAGCGUGGGGAGCAAACAGG